rnacentral:tRNA from 1 species
UCCCAGGUGGGACAGUGGUAAACAAUCUGCCUGUCAAUGCAGGAGUUGCAAGAGACCCAGGUUUGAUUCCUGGUUUGGGAA